UACGUAGGGGGCUAGCGUUGUCCGGAAUCAUUGGGCGUAAAGAGCGUGUAGGCGGUCCGGUAAGUCCGCUGUGAAAGUCGGGGGCUCAACCCUCGAAUGCCGGUGGAUACUGUCGGGCUAGAGUGCGGAAGAGGCGAGUGGAAUUCCUGGUGUAGCGGUGAAAUGCGCAGAUAUCAGGAGGAACACCUAUUGCGAAGGCAGCUCGCUGGGACGUAACUGACGCUGAGGCACGAAAGCCAGGGGAGCGAACGGG
rnacentral:rRNA from 1 species